GUCUCAGUAGCACAGUGGUUAGGGCACAGCCCCGGAAAGGUUGAGACGCGGGUUCGGUUCCCGCCUGGGAUG
rnacentral:tRNA from 1 species